UACCCCAUGGUGUAACGGUAGCACAACUGGUUUUGAUCCAGUCAGCCUAGGUUCGAAUCCUAGUGGGGUAGCCA
rnacentral:tRNA from 1 species